rnacentral:rRNA from 1 species
UACGUAGGGUGCGAGCGUUGUCCGGAAUUAUUGGGCGUAAAGAGCUUGUAGGCGGUUUGUCGCGUCUGCUGUGAAAUUUCGGGGCUCAACCCCGAACUUGCAGUGGGUACGGGCAGACUAGAGUGUGGUAGGGGAGACUGGAAUUCCUGGUGUAACGGUGAAAUGCGCAGAUAUCAGGAGGAACACCGAUGGCGAAGGCAGGUCUCUGGGCCACUACUGACGCUGAGAAGCGAAAGCAUGGGGAGCGAACAGG